UUCGCCCUUAGAGUUUGAUCCUGGCUCAGGACGAACGCUGGCGGCGCGCCUAACACAUGCAAGUCGAACGGAGUUGUGUUGAAAGCUUGCUGGAUAUACAACUUAGUGGCGGACGGGUGAGUAACACGUGAGUAACCUGCCUCUCAGAGUGGAAUAACGUUUGGAAACGAACGCUAAUACCGCAUAACGUGAGAAGAGGGCAUCCUCUUUUUACCAAAGAUUUAUCGCUGAGAGAUGGGCUCGCGGCCGAUUAGGUAGUUGGUGAGAUAACAGCCCACCAAGCCGACGAUCGGUAGCCGGACUGAGAGGUUGAACGGCCACAUUGGGACUGAGACACGGCCCAGACUCCUACGGGAGGCAGCAGUGGGGAAUAUUGCACAAUGGGGGAAACCCUGAUGCAGCGACGCCGCGUGGAGGAAGAAGGUCUUCGGAUUGUAAACUCCUGUUGUUGAGGAAAAUCGAGAUGGUACUCAACAAGGAAGUGACGGCUAACUACGUGCCAGCAGCCGCGGUAAAACGUAGGUCACAAGCGUUGUCCGGAAUUACUGGGUGUAAAGGGAGCGCAGGCGGGUAUGCAAGUUGGAAGUGGAAUACAUGGGCUCAACCCAUGAACUGCUUUCAAAACUAUCACUCUUGAGUGCAGUAGAGGUAGGCGGAAUUCCUAGUGUAGCGGUGAAAUGCGUAGAUAUUAGGAGGAACACCAGUGGCGAAGGCGGCCUACUGGGCUGUAACUGACGCUGAGGCUCGAAAGCGUGGGUAGCAAACAGGAUUAGAUACCCUGGUAGUCCACGCCGUAAACGAUGAUUACUAGGUGUGGGGGGACUGACCCCUUCCGUGCCGGAGUUAACACAAUAAGUAAUCCACCUGGGGAGUACGACCGCAAGGUUGAAACUCAAAGGAAUUGACGGGGGCCCGCACAAGCAGUGGAGUAUGUGGUUUAAUUCGAAGCAACGCGAAGAACCUUACCAGGUCUUGACAUCGAGCGACGAACCAAGAGAUUGGUUCUUCCUUCGGGACGCGAAGACAGGUGGUGCAUGGUUGUCGUCAGCUCGUGUCGUGAGAUGUUGGGUUAAGUCCCGCAACGAGCGCAACCCUUAUGGAUAGUUACUACGCAAGAGGACUCUAUUCAGACUGCCGUUGACAAAACGGAGGAAGGUGGGGAUGACGUCAAAUCAUCAUGCCCUUUAUGACUUGGGCUACACACGUACUACAAUGGCGUUAAACAAAGAGAAGCGAAGUCGCGAGGCAGAGCAAAACUCAAAAACAACGUCCCAGUUCAGAUUGCAGGCUGCAACUCGCUUGCAUGAAGUCGGAAUUGCUAGUAAUCGCAGAUCAGCAUGCUGCGGUGAAUACGUUCCCGGGCCUUGCACACACCGCCCGUCA
rnacentral:rRNA from 1 species